rnacentral:rRNA from 1 species
AUUGAACGCUGGCGGCAUGCUUUACACAUGCAAGUCGAACGGUAACAGGGUGCUUGCACCGCUGACGAGUGGCGAACGGGUGAGUAAUGCAUCGGAAUGUACCGUGUAAUGGGGGAUAGCUCGGCGAAAGCCGGAUUAAUACCGCAUACGCCCUGAGGGGGAAAGUGGGGGACCGAAAGGCCUCACGUUAUACGAGCAGCCGAUGUCUGAUUAGCUAGUUGGUGAGGUAAAGGCUCACCAAGGCGUCGAUCAGUAGCGGGUCUGAGAGGAUGAUCCGCCACACUGGGACUGAGACACGGCCCAGACUCCUACGGGAGGCAGCAGUGGGAAUUUUGGACAAUGGGCGCAAGCCUGAUCCAGCCAUGCCGCGUGUCUGAAGAAGGCCUUCGGGUUGUAAAGGACUUUUGUCCGGGAGCAAAUCCUAGUGGUUAAUAACCGCUGGGUCUGAGAGUACCGGAAGAAUAAGCACCGGCUAACUACGUG